UACGGUAGUGAUUUAUAUAUCAAAUGGUGUCCCUAUCACCUGUAAAUAACAUUUACAUAAUGUAACAUUUGUGCAAUAUUCUCAAUAGAGGGGAAGAUGCAUGAUGCACGGAUGCUUGGUGAGUCUGGCCUGUACAACAACAUGAGGCAAUUUGCAUUCUCCAGACAAGGCGAACCAAUGUGCAUUUAUGGUGAUCCGGCCUACCCACUUCGGAUGC